rnacentral:lncRNA from 1 species
CCCUCUUCCAGAUCAGGUCGCUUUUUAUGUUGAGAACCUUCGGGCUGGACUUCGAUUCUCGAUUUCGGAUUUCAUUUGGAAUAUUUUGAUUUUUACCGACUUUGUUCGAUCCAACUUACGUCGAAUUCCAUUUAGCUUCUUAUCACUUUCACUUUAUUGUAUCGUAUGAUCCCGACUCAACCUAGACCUUUCUUUUUUCAUA